rfam:Oryza glaberrima chromosome 4 Oglab04_0216_4, whole genome shotgun sequence.
AAAAAGGUAAACCUUGGAUUUUCGUGUUCAACUUUGACUGUCCGUCUUAUAUAAUUUUUUUUAUAAUUCAUAUUUUUAUUGUUGUUAGGUGAUAAAACAUGAUUAAUAUUUUAUGCGUGACUUGUCUUUUUAAUUUUUUUUAUAAUCUUUUCAAAUAAGACAGAUGGUCAAAUGUUGGACACGAAAAUCAUGGUUUGUCUUUUU